rnacentral:rRNA from 1 species
UACGUAGGGUGCGAGCGUUGUCCGGAAUUACUGGGCGUAAAGAGCUUGUAGGCGGUUUGUCGCGUCUUCUGUGAAAACUCACAGCUCAACUGUGAGCUUGCAGGGGAUACGGGCAGACUAGAGUACUUCAGGGGAGACUGGAAUUCCUGGUGUAGCGGUGAAAUGCGCAGAUAUCAGGGGGAACACCGGUGGCGAAGGCGGGUCUCUGGGAAGUAACUGACGCUGAGAAGCGAAAGCGUGGGUAGCGAACAGG